GCUCAGGAUGAACGCUGGCGGCGUGCCUAAUACAUGCAAGUAGGACGCACAGUUUAUACCGUAACUUGCUACACCAUAGACUGUGAGUUGCGAACGGGUGAGUAACGCGUAGGUAACCUACCUAUUAGAGGGGGAUAACUAUUGGAAACGAUAGCUAAUACCGCAUAACAGUAUGUAACACAUGUUAGAUGCUUGAAAGAUGCAAUUGCAUCGCUAGUAGAUGGACCUGCGUUGUAUUAGCUAGUAGGUAGGGUAAAGGCCUACCUAGGCAACGAUACAUAGCCGACCUGAGAGGGUGAUCGGCCACACUGGGACUGAGACACGGCCCAGACUCCUACGGGAGGCAGCAGUA
rnacentral:rRNA from 1 species